GUGGGCCCUGGGGGGGGGGGGGGUUCUGGAGUCUCAGCUCUGGGUCCAAGCUUCAGGCUCACUCUGGGAACUCUUAGUUUCAGCUAGGCCUCAGAGACUCCUUCACUACACAAUAAUUUCAUUUCUUUCUCUCCUUGACGACCCCAGAAACAAGGCAGCUGAAUGGAGGAAUGGAUGGAGCAUUCUUUCCACAGGAAGCUAUGGAGAGGGAAGGGGACCACCAGGAACUGACUUGGCUGCCAGAUACAGUGGGAGAGUACCAUUUAUCAUGAGAGGUAGCAUGUGUUACGGAGAGAGAAACCAGGAAGACCUGAGUUCAAGUCUUACCUCUGACAUGUGGCAAUUACAUGCAACCCUGGGUGCAAGCUGCUGGCCUUCAUUGGUAGGAGUUUCUUAGUUUGGCUGAGGAAUUCCCUAAACCAAAGAAUUUCUUGCCGUUUUGAA